rnacentral:rRNA from 1 species
UCGGGAAUUUUGGGCAAUGGGCGAAAGCCUGACCCAGCAACGCCGCGUGAAGGAUGAAGUAUUUCGGUAUGUAAACUUCGUAAGAAUAGGAAGAAUAAAUGACGGUACUAUUUGUAAGGUCCGGCUAACUACGUGCCAGCAGCCGCGGUAAUACGUAGGGACCAAGCGUUGUUCGGAUUUACUGGGCGUAAAGGGCGCGUAGGCGGUUUGUCAAGUCAGUUGUGAAAUCUCCGAGCUUAACUCGGAACGGUCAACUGAUACUGUCAAACUAGAGUACAGAAGGGGCAAUCGGAAUUCUUGGUGUAGCGGUGAAAUGCGUAGAUAUCAAGAGGAACACCUGAGGCGAAGGCGGGUUGCUGGGCUGAUACUGACGCUGAAGCGCGAAAGCUAGGGUAGCAAACGGGAUUAGAUACCCCCGUAGUCCCUGAGCGGGC